rnacentral:rRNA from 1 species
GAUGAACGCUAGCGGCAGGCUUAACACAUGCAAGUCGAGGGGCAGCAUACCCGGCAACGGGUGAUGGCGACCGGCGUAAGGGUGAGUAACGCGUGAGCAACAUACCCGUAUCAGGGAGAUAAUACAGGGAAACUUGUUCUAAUAUUCCAUAAUAUUAUCCAGAGGCAUCUUUGGAUACUUAAAGUUACGACGGAUACGGAAUGGCUCGCGUGACAUUAGUUAGAUGGUAGGGUAAUGGCCUACCAUGACUAUGAUGUCUAGGGGUUCUGAGAGGGAGGUCCCCCACACUGGAACUGAGACACGGUCCAGACUCCUACGGGAGGCAGCAGUGAGGAAUAUUGGACAAUGGAUGGAAAUCUGAUCCAGCCAUGCCGCGUGCAGGAAGGCGGCCCUAUGGGUUGUAAACUGCUUUUGUACGGGAGCAAUAAGGUCUACGAGUAGAUUGAUGAGAGUACUGUACGAAUAAGCAUCGGCUAACUCCGUGCCAGCAGCCGCGGUAAUACGGAGGAUGCGAGCGUUAUCCGGAUUUAUUGGGUUUAAAGGGUGCGUAGGCUGUUAUUCAAGUCAGUGGUAAAAGGUACAGGCUUAACUUGUAUGCGCCAUUGAUACUGAAUAGCUGGGGUAUGGAUGAAGUGUGCGGAAUGUGUGGUGUAGCGGUGAAAUGCAUAGAUAUCACACAGAACACCGAUAGCGAAGGCAGCACACUAAGGCAAUAUUGACGCUGAGGCACGAAAGUGUGGGGAUCAAACAGGAUUAGAUACCCUGGUAGUCCACACUGUAAACGAUGAUAACUAGCUGUUGGCGAUAGAAUGUCAGGAGCGAAGCGAAAGCGAUAAGUUAUCCACCUGGGGAGUACGGCCGCAAGGUUGAAACUCAA